rnacentral:rRNA from 1 species
GGGCCCGCACAAGCGGUGGAGUAUGUGGUUUAAUUCGAUGCAACGCGAAGAACCUUACCAGGGUUUGACAUCCUGCGAAUCUCUUGGAAACAGGAGAGUGCCUUCGGGAACGCAGUGACAGGUGGUGCAUGGCUGUCGUCAGCUCGUGUCGUGAGAUGUUGGGUUAAGUCCCGCAACGAGCGCAACCCACGUCUUUAGUUGCCAGCAUUUAGUUGGGCACUCUAGAGAGACUGCCGCUGAAAGCCGGAGGAAGGUGGGGACGACGUCAAGUCAGCAUGCCCCUUAAGUUUUGGGCUACACACGUGCUACAAUGGCCGAGACAAAGGGACGCUAACCUAAAGGGAGCCAAUCUCUAAAGUCGGCCUAAGUUCGGAUUGCAGGCUGCAACUCGCCUGCACGAAGUUGGAAUCGCUAGUAAUCG